CACCAAUGUAAAGUUAAAAAAUCUGCAACAUUAGUUUUGUUGCAGAAAAAUUCUGCAACAAUAUCUAUGUUGCAAAAGUUCCUCAAUACGGCCCAUAUCACAAACAUCCGAACGCAACAUUAUGCUUAUUGCAGAAGUUGUAACCUAAUCAGUCGGUCAUCCCGUAUUAAAUCUUUAUGACAGAAAAAAAUAUAGUCGUUUACAGCUCUGUCGGGACCGAAACAAAGAGGUUGUUUCCGCAACUGGUUUGUUGUUUCAAGAAUUAAUGUGUUGAGGAGGCGACCAAGCCGCAUGCCAGAAAUUAGAUCGGAUGGUUACGAACGACUGUGCGCGUGAACAUCCGACGAUUGUCGUAGUGGUGGAUAUUUAUUAGGCAUCUACCUGUGGAUGCGUAGCGCUCCCCAUUUUUAUUUCUCCAGAGUGUUAGCCCAACUAGCGAGUAGCUGGCUCCCGAGGAUCAGACGAAGUCGAGGAAUAACAACCUGAACUACAGCUAGUAUAAACUAGCAGAACACACACAUACACUGGGAUGGAGCUGCUCGUACUUGCUUUAUAUAUGUAGCUGAAUGGCUUCUUGCCUUGUAUUGAUUGGAAUGGAAUGAUUACAACAGGCUGUGAGCUGCUCCUUAUAUAGCAGUUGUGAACCGACCUAAGCAUAAANNNNNNNNNNUACGUCACCUACUAGCUGCACUAGUAAACUACGUUUCUACUACUACGACCUUAACUACUAAGAAAUGCAAUUGAUAUUGCUGCCGACCUGCACCUUCUGCAUGCUAGGUAUUUGCUGCUCCUGUCGCUGUAUGCAUGCUACCUAAGACAAGGUUUGACUCAACAAUCUCCCCCUCAACCUUGUUGAAGGAGCUUGAUGUCGACGAUUCUAAUAUUGUCGUGUAGCUUCUGGAGGACUGCCUUGUCGUGUAGCUUCUGGAGGACUGCCUUGUCGUGGGCGUUAGUAUUGCUCGGGUCAUAGUUCCAGACGUCACACCGCCCGAGAACUCCUUUUUCGGGGUCUUCGCGUCGGACGUCAUGCUACCCAAGAACUUCCUUUCGUGGGAUGACUUGUCGGACAUCGCACUACCCGGGAACUCCCUUCCUGGGGUCGUUGUGCCAGACGCCGAAUUGCCCGGGAACUCCCUUCCCAGGUUGAUAUGCCGUACGUUACACUAACCGGAGUGGCUCCUCUCCGGGCAGCGGAAUCCUUGUCGCUCUUCCUGUCGGACUUGCUUGUCGGGUUUCCCCCGACAGUCACGGGUCGUGCCUCUCGCACGGACUCGAUGGACCCCGAGCAUGUUGGGGUUGUGGCGUGGCCGACCAUAGAGCACCGUGGCUCCUGCACGGUCUCGAGAGUCGCCACCAGCGUGGUCGGGGCGUGUUCCACCAGAGAGUGUCGUGCCUCUUGCACGAACUCGAUGGACCCCGAGCGCAUUGAAGUCGCAAUGUGGCCGCCAGAGAGCGCCGCGCCUCCUGCACGGCCUCGUUGGUCGCCAAUGUCAUGGUCGAGGCCUUGCCGCCCCAUGACCGUCUCUUCAUCGCUCCCAGUUGAUAGGCCCUGAAAACAAUGUUGUCGGGGAGUGGCCUAUCGAAGUUGGUGUUGAGCCAAAUGAAGAGUGUCGUGGCAGCCAUACGGGCUUGGAGAACCCUGAGAACUUGGUUGUUGGGGUUCAGCGAGAACCCUGAGAACUUGGUUGUUGGGGUUCAGCCUGGGCAUUCGGGUAUUUUGGUUAUUUCGGUUCGGGUAGUUCGGUUUAUGGGUAAUUCAGGUAUUAAAAAAUGGGAACCAAAAUUAUUUCUGUCAAAAAAAAUACCCGAACCCAAAUUACCCAAAAUUUCGGUUCGGGUAAUUCGGGUACCCAAAAUACCCAAAAUAUUCUGAGCAUACAUCAACUUUUGAUAUGAAUAACUCGGAUAGUAUGAGUAUUUUUGGUAAUAUGAGUAUUUUAGUUAGUAUGGGUAUAAUAACAUGAAAAUUUUGGACAGUAUGAAUAAUUUGGGUAGUAUGGGUAUUUCGGGUUUUCCACACUAGAACCCGAACCCUAACCCGAAAACCGAAUAGUCAAGAAAUGAGAACCGAACCCUUACCCGAUACCCGAAUUACCUGACAAUUCGGGUAAUUCGGUUCGGGUUCGGGUAGCGGGUUCGGGUACCCAAACGCCCAGGGUGAGUUGGGGUGUGGCCGACCUGAGUUGACGUGCGCUCAUGCACGGGCUCACUGGUCGCCAGCAUCAUGGUCGGGACGUGGCUCACCAGAUGUGUUGUUGCCGUGCCUCCUGACAUGGGCUUGUCGAGUCUCGAGGUUGUCGGGGACGCCAUGUCAACUUGCACUGGCUUGUCGGGUCUCGAGGUUGUCGGGGACGCCGUUGCUGUGCCAACUUGCACGGGCUUGACCAACGUCGUAGGGGACAUGGUUGCUGGGGUGUGGCUCCCCCACACCCGGGUCUUCAUCGCCUCCCAAUCGUAGGUCCCUGAAAACAUUGUUGUCGGGGAGAGCGCUACCGUUGUCGGGAGGGGAUUAGUUGAAGAGCUCCGUGCCUCCCGCACGAACUUGACGGUUGCCGGCACCAUGGUCGCUGACGUCUUCGAUGCUUGUCGGGACCAUGGUCGCCAGAGGCGUUGGGCCGUCCUGCACUGUCUCGACGCAAGCCAUCAUCAUUGCUGGCCCACCAUCCUCUUCAGCUUGGACGAGGUUUCCGCACGACACGGAGAAAUUUCCGCACGACUCUCGCGUCGUCCAUGGGGUCGCUGAGCGCCCAGAGCUGUGACGCAAGGCUGGAGAUCCGCAUGGCGAAGUCGUCAACGAGCUCGCCCUCCUUGAAGGCGAUGUUCUUGAAGUCCGCCCGCAACUUCUGCACGUUUGCCUCGCGCACGCGGUUGCUGCUGAGGCGCUUGGUACGGAUGGCUUCCUGCGCCUCCUUGGCGCCUGCCUUCGUCGCGAGUAUGUCAUGCAUCUCCUACGGCGUGGCGCGCAUGAGUGCCGCCACGGCUUUCUUGUCCUCCUUCCUCUCGAUUGUGUCGUCCUUCAUGGGAACCCUGAGGCUCGCCGCAUGGAGGUUGCACUCCAUGAUCAACGCCCACUCGUUGUAGUUCGAGCGCGUGAGCAUCAGGAAGGUGAUGGGCACACUACCAGUGACUACGGUUUCGCGCACGAUCUCCCUAACCACGACCUCACCGCCACGACUGAGCCACGGCUGCGCCCUACUUGGAGCCGUCCUGUAAUAGCUGCGACUUGGAACCAUCCCACAUGGCUACCGCAACCUGAGGCUCUGAUACCAAUUGUUAGCCCAGACUACGGAGUAGCUGGCUUCUGAGGAUCCGACGAAGUUGAGGGAUAACAACCUGAACUACAGCUAGUAUAAACUAGCAGAACACACACGCAUACACUGGGAUGGAGCUACUCUUACUAGCUUUAUAUAUGUAGCUGAGUGGCUUCUUGCCUUGUAUUGAUUGGAAUGGAAUGAUUACAACCGUCUGUGAGCUGCUCCUUAUAUAGCAGUUGUGAACCGACCUAAGCAUAAAUAUCAGCUGGACCUUAGCUAAGCACUCACGUCACCUACUAGCUGCACUAGUAAACUACGUUUCUACUACCACUUCCUUAACUACUAAGAAAUGCAAUAGAUAUUGCUGCCGACCUGCACCUUUUGCAUGCUAGGUAUUUGCUGCUCCUGUCGCUGUAUGCAUGCUACCUAAGACAAGGUUUUUCUCAACACAUUGCACACAUGUUUGAGGAUGCUACCUGACAACUGUAGCUAGUCCGAACUAGGAGAACACACACACACAUGUAUGAGGAUGGAGCUCACGUACUACACUACUAGUAGUUGUGGUGCUUUUACUCUGAACACACACACGUACUAGUAAGAGUACCACUUGAGGCUUGAUUGAUCGGAAUGAAAAAAUGGCCUGAGUUACAACCGGAGGUGAGUGCUCCUUAUAUAGCACUCUAAACCGACAUAGAGCUAGGAUAUUUUGCUAGUAGUGAGCUAAGCACUUACCUCACAGCCCUGAUACUACCUUACCUAGUAAGCUACCUUGAUUUAUUUACUCCCUUAGUUACUAAGGCAUGCAGCCGCCGUUGCCGACCUGCCCAUUGCAUUCUAGCUAGAAAAACUGCUGCUGCUGCACUUGUGUGCAUGCUGCCGACAUGUGGUCUUUGUAGACAAGUUUGACUCAACAUAGAUCUCCUUGGAUGUCAUUAGUUCAUGAAUUCUUGCUCGCACAAAGCACACUCGAGUGCGAAAAAAGUUUAAUGUUUUUGAAUUUGUUUCGAAUUUAUAGUUCACGUGAGAGUAGGAGAACUUGGGAAUCAGGAUCAUCCAUGACUUCCGUGAGUUAUUGUAGUAACGGGAAGGGGGGAGGACUACCUCCUGAUGGGACAAGCUUUUCUGGUUGCUCCAGUGUGGUGUUGUGGCUGUGUGGCGGCUGGCUCUCACGGGAGGGACCGGGAACUCCACCUUCUAGGUCAUCU
rnacentral:lncRNA from 1 species